CUGUAUGGAUCCCUGCCCAGAGAGUAUGACUUUUCUUGAAUAACACACCUAUGACUAAGAAUUAAUUUCUUAGAAAAUAUUCGAGUUUUCUUUUGGUAUAUUAUUAAUGUUUAUAGGAGAAUUCUACUCACUUGGUUUAUAAUGACAGUAUUUUUAUCUCUGUAUUAUUAAUGUGUGACAUUACCCAUAGGUUGAUAAACAAACUAAUGGUACUUACUUUAUGCAACUAAAAAUAUAGUAAGAAAAAAAGAAUUUUCAUUCUUAUCAUUCCAUAAAGCCACUUCCUUAAAAUUAAACUACAGUUAUACUUCUUUCCAGUCACUUCUUAUCUUCCUUCACUGCUGCUAAUGGAAAUGUUCUCUUGAUGUUCAACUUUUGGCUCAUGUGUCAGGUACACGUAUAGGCUAAUGUUCUUAUUGAUUGUUUUAACAAACUGCUAUUCCAAAAACACUGAAACUGAAAUAACAAGGGUUAUCUUACAUUUUUUAAUUUAAGAUACAGUGGUUUUGUUUGUUUUUGUUUUGUUUUUUAGGGCUGUACCUGUGGCAUAUGGAGAUUUCCAGGCUAGGGGUCCCAUGAGGGCUAGAGCUGCUGGCCAUAGCCAUAGUAAGGUGGGAUCGGAGCUGCAUCAGUGACCUACACCACAGCUCAUGACAACACCGGAUCCCCGACCCACUCAGUGAGGCCAGGGAUGGAACCUGCAACCUUGUGUGGUUACCAGAUUCGCUUCGCACCGCUGUGCCACAACAGGAACUCCAAGGUACUGUGAUUUUAAUGAUUUUUUUUUUCAUCCUUUCACUUUAUUUUAGAUUUAUUUGCCAUAGAUUUUUUUUCUUUUUUUUCUUUUUGGCUGUACCCACAGCAUAUGGAAGUUCCAGGGCCAGGGAUCGAAUGCGUAUUACAGCAGUGACCUGAGCCAUGACAGUAACAAUGCUGGAUCCUUGACCAGUAGGCCACUAGGGAACUCCAUGCCAUCAACAGGUCACAUGGGCCUGCGUUCAACUAUAACCAGCACAGAUAUUAAAUGGCUAAGUGAAUUUGGACAAGUUACUAAACUUUUUUUUUUUUUUUUUUCAGAUGAAGAAACCAAAAGAAUAAUCAGGAAAUUGAAUGUAGAACAAUUAAUGCUCAACGAAAAGUGGCUUUUUGUAGUUGUUACUAUCAAAGGGUUCCCUUCAAGAUUACCUCACAGAUUUUCCAGGAGGUGAAGAUGAAGACAAGGAGACUGAACAAUGGAUGUGUGUGUGUAACUGUCCCCUGACUCACAAAAGUGCAAUGGAAAGCAAACAAGUGAAGUGAAAGAAUGCAAAGAGGGAGAUGGAACAAAAGCUUGCAGAGAAGUGCCAGUUAACAACUGACUAUAAGAGAAGAAUAAUCUUCUGAGUAAAUACAGAGAAAGAGAGAAAGAGAAGGGGCAGGGAUUUGUAUUGAAGAAGCUUGCUCUGUACUUUGAAACAAACUGAAAGAGAAAAAAUAGUAUUAUUUAUUUAAAAUCACUCCCUGACUUGAAUCAAUUCAGGAUACAAAAUAGUUUGCCUCCCUACUGAUUAUAUCAAUUUUUAAAUUGCAUUUAUUGCUAUUUUUCUUUUAUCUAGAGAUACGUAUUGAGUGUCUGUUAUAUGCCAGAAACUAUUCUCAGGAGAGCAUUGAACAAAACAGAAAAACUCUGCACUCACACAGCUUAAAUUCUAGCUGACAAUAGCUAAACAAACAAGCAAACAUGAUGUCAUAUAGUAUAAGUGCUAUGAAGAAAAAUCAGGUUAGGUACAUGGAAAGUUUUUACUUUCAUAGGGGUAGACAGGGAAACUGACUUACCCCAAGAUUAAUACACACUAAUGGUAGAUUUUUUUUUAACAAUAAAGAUUAACAAAAUGAAAAGCUGAAGUACUUU
ensembl:lncRNA